rnacentral:rRNA from 1 species
CGGGAAUUUUGGGCAAUGGGCGAAAGCCUGACCCAGCAACGCCGCGUGAAGGAUGAAAUCCCUCGGGAUGUAAACUUCGCAAGAACAGGAAGAAUAAGUAGGGGACAACACCCCCUAUGAUGACGGUACUGUUUGUAAGCUCCGGCUAACUCCGUGCCAGCAGCCGCGGUAAGACGUAGGGGGCCAGCGUUGUUCGGAAUUACUGGGUGUAAAGGGUUCGUAGGCGGUGCGGCAAGUUGGGAGUGAAAUCUCUGGGCUUAACCCAGAGGCUGCUUCCAAAACUGCUGUGCUUGAGUGUGGGAGAGGCGCGUGGAAUUGCAGGUGUAGCGGUGAAAUGCGUAGAUAUCUGCAGGAACACCCGUGGCGAAAGCGGCGCGCUGGACCACUACUGACGCUGAGGAACGAAAGCUAGGGGAGCAAA